AUCAAGAGUUUUAGGACACCAUUUUAAGACCAAUUACAGUGAAAAUUGUGGUGUCUUACUUUUUCAGUUUUGACUAAAAAGACCAAGUCAAGUUCAUUUCAAAGUGCAAAGAUGAGGAAGGACCGUUGUCAAUCAGAAGGUGGGAAUUGAUUUGACUAAUGACCAUAAAGUGUCUCUCAAACCAGGGUCAAGAAGUCGCAAAGUGCUACCCCCUGGUUACCCCGAAAGCUGUAAUGCUCCAUUCUCUCAGAAUCUGAACAGCAAGGAAUUUCAAGAUUCUUCACAGGAGCAGAAUUUGAAGACUAUGAAGUCCCCACAGAAAUCUGGCACACAAUGUGUAGUUGCUCCGGAAAACAAGAAAGUCUCGCCCCCAAGAAACCAGGAAUUGACCACAAAGACUCUUGAAAAAGACCCAACAGAGGACCUUAUUAAUAAGGAGAUAGAAGACAUGCAGUUAACAACUAAUGUUGCAAUUAAUUUAGCGGACGAGCUCUUCAAAGAUUAUCUCCUUGAUGGAGAUUUAUUGUCAGUGGAUAUCAGACUACCCAACUCAUCAAAGGCAACAGAGGCAGAGAAUACAAAUUCUGCUGUGAAGGAACUGCUCAUUCCUUGGACCCAGUCUUCCCAAAGCUCUGAUCAGUUACCUGAUAGUGACUUGAAUGUACAGGAAAGCCAUGCCAGCUUCGCUUCUACCAGCACAGAAAAUUGUCCUCAAACACAGAGCUCAGGGGCUGAUUUAAGUGAAAUGUUGCAGACACUAGAUACUGGCUCUGCAUUUGGUAACGAAAUGAUACUGAGCCCAGAAGCAGGUUUCGAAAUGUUGCAAAACCUAGAGACUAGCUUCAAGGAUGAUAAUGAAAUUUCAAAUAGUCAAGGGGCUGGAAGUUAAUUCUGGCACACAGACCCUUGCGUUGACGUCAAAACAGCUCGGACUAAGAAAUGUAUCAACUUAAUUUAUACUCGUAUACAUUUUGUAGCUAUAUAUUUGUUUCAUUCAGUUGUAUUCAAUUUGACAUAUAUGGCAAUUUACAAACAAAGUUCUUUUCAAUUAGC
rnacentral:misc_RNA from 1 species